rnacentral:tRNA from 1 species
GGCGGCGUAGCCAAGUGGCCUAAGGCGAAGGUCUGCAAAACCUUUAUUCACCGGUUCAAAUCCGGUCGCCGCCU